CCUACGGGUGGCAGCAGUAGGGAAUCUUUCACAAUGGGCGAAAGCCUGAUGGAGCAACGCCGCGUGCAGGAUGAAGGCCUUCGGGUUUUAAACUUCUUUUAUAAGCGAGAAAUAUGAUGGUAACUUAUGAAUCCGGCUCGGCUCACUACGUGCCAGCCGCCGCGGUCCUACGUAGGAUCCGAGCAUUAUCCGGAGUGCCUGGGUGUAAAGAGUUGCGUAGGUGGCAUAAUAAGUAGCUAGUGAAAUCUGGUGGCUCAACCAUUCAGACUAUUCUCUAAACUGUUAAGCUCGAGACCGUUAGGGGUAACUGGAAUUUCUAGUGUAGGAGUGAAAUCCGUAGAUAUUAGAAGGAACACCAAUAGCGUAGGCAGGUUGCUGGGACGGGUCUGACACUAAGGCACGAAAGCGUAGGGAGCAAACGGGAUUAGAUACCCGUGUAGUC
rnacentral:rRNA from 1 species